rnacentral:rRNA from 1 species
GACGAACGCUGGCGGCGUGCCUAAUACAUGCAAGUCGAGCGGACUGAAUGGGAGCUUGCUCUUGUUCGGUCAGCGGCGGACGGGUGAGUAACACGUGGGCAACCUGCCCGCAAGACCGGGAUAACUCCGGGAAACCGGAGCUAAUACCGGAUAACACCGAAGACCGCAUGGUCUUUGGUUGAAAGGCGGCGCAAGCUGCCACUUGCGGAUGGGCCCGCGGCGCAUUAGCUAGUUGGUGAGGUAACGGCUCACCAAGGCGACGAUGCGUAGCCGGCCUGAGAGGGUGACCGGCCACACUGGGACUGAGACACGGCCCAGACUCCUACGGGAGGCAGCAGUAGGGAAUCUUCCGCAAGAGGCGAAAGCCUGACGGAGCGACGCCGCGUGAGCGAAGAAGGCCUUCGGGUCGUAAAGCUCUGUUGUGAGGGACGAAGGAGCGCCGUUUGAAGAAGGCGGCGCGGUGACGGUACCUCACGAGGAAGCCCCGGCUAACUACGUG